UACGAAGGGGGCUAGCGUUGUUCGGAAUUACUGGGCGUAAAGGGCGCGUAGGCGGUACUUCAAGUCAGAUGUGAAAGCCCCGGGCUCAACCUGGGAAUGGCAUUUGAUACUCUGAGGCUGGAGUACGGGAGAGGAGAGUGGAAUUCCCAGUGUAGAGGUGAAAUUCGUAGAUAUUGGGAAGAACACCGGUGGCGAAGGCGGCUCUCUGGACCGUAACUGACGCUGAGGCGCGAAAGCGUGGGGAGCAAACAGG
rnacentral:rRNA from 1 species